AAAACUUUCCAUGGCAGUGACUAUCACUUAUUGUUACCAGUAGCUAUGCUUUGUUCGUGUACCCUGUAGAUGAAGGACAGCUACAACUUACACGCAGAAUAAUCCAAUAGUUGUUUCACCCAUGAGUGUUUAUUUUGUCAAAUAUUUAUUUUAAUCUUUCUUAUCUCUAUGUUUGCAUACACAGAGAUGUGUGAAAACAACACUGAAAAUGCAAGACGCUCAAGUUACAUAGCAAUGUACAAGAAAGGAUUUUCAUUUAAAAAGCAUGAGGACAAGCAUAGAAACCUUGUCUUGCAGUUGCUGUGUGGAGGAACCCUAGCUUCCCACCAAAAACUGCUGGCACAGUCUUUAUUGGAUGUCACUGUGUUAAUAAAACGUUGCCCUGCUGGCCUCCGCUCUCCUGAAGCUCUUGAUGUGGAGACUGUCAAAGACAAGUAGACUGACUGGGAGAGCAUACUGCUGCCUGGUUACUUGGCCUAGCUAGACGCCUGUAGAGCAAGCUGUAAAAACACGGUGAGAGAACCCUCACUGCAUGUUAAGCCCCAUAGUUUGGCCUGCCAAGCUUGCAUGUUUGACGCUGCUGCAUCAUAGUGGGGCAAAGGUUUCAACCAGCCAGCUGAGGCAUGUGCCUUAAUUUUUCUCCUCCUUCUACUUCUGGACUCCACCAUACACUGUAGCCAUAGCCUAUGUAGUCCACUUGCUAUCAGGGGGCAGACAAAACAUGAACACUGACUGACUUCAGAGGCUCCUGAAAGUUUAAGAUAUGCAUUAGGACCUGCUGUGUCCUCUAGUUAAGGCUCAGCAAUUGAGGCUACCCCAGUUUUGGCUCAGACUAUUCUUAAGGGAUAAAUGUACCUAGUGCAGGUGACGCUGCUUCUGGCUUCAUGGUAGUUUCUCUUGGUUAUCUCUAGCCUUCUGUUAGGGACAAGUCACUGUGCUUUAAUGCUAUAAACAAUGUAUUUAACAGUCAUACACAAUUUCAGGGAGGUGUCCUUAUCGAGGAGGGUGCUUAAAUACCCUUAGACUUUAGCACAUUGUUGAAUCAAAGUGUUUGCGUAAGAACGGACUGUUCGGAACUAAGACAGACGCAUUGUUUGGGGGAUUUUUUUCUCCUCAUUCUGAAAGAACAACACUCAGCUUGUUAUAUGUCUUACGAGAUUUAGAAGUCUUGUUAUUCUAUUCUAUUUUAGAUUGGUUACAGGAAGACAAUAAACCUCCACAGUUAUUAACGCAACGCAUGCCUCAGUGGUUUAAUAUGCUUCAUUAACCCGAGCAGUGGUUCCAAGUGCAGUGUACAAGAUCUUUUGCAGUUGCUUUAUAUAGUUUUCUUUAAAGAGGGCGUUAACCAAAAUUCAAUUUCCAGAAGGAAGUGUCCAUAGGUAUGGUAGGGAAUGUAGCUUGUCAUCAAGAAAUAGGAGCAAGGGUAACUGCUAGACUAUGGGGAGGGAAGUUCUUCUACCCUUUCUGUCAUCCACAGUUUUCCUUUUUUUUCCCCUCCUUGAAUAUUAGAAGGGGGUUUUGAUGAUUGUUCCAGAGCUCCUUACAUAUUCCUGGAAAUCUACUGUUAAUAAGACUGGAAGCAUUUAUGAUAAUAGGAAGUAUGUGUGUGUGGAGCUAAGAGAAAUAAUUGUCUGAAUUUCAGAAUCAGUAUUUGUUUUAGAGAUUAGUAUUGUUUCUAAACAACUUCAGUUUCCAGUGCAGAAAGUUAUAUUUAUGUAUAUAUGAGGAGAUAAGAUUACAGUUAAAACCGCUUCAAGUAUUACUAUUUUAGAACUACAGAACCCAAAAAUGUAUAUGACGGUGUGGUGAAGGGUCAGAAGAAAUGUAGCAGAGCUAAAGAUUCAUUGCAAAAGCUUUAAAUGCUGCCUCUGAUUCUGGCUGUUUUUCACCCCUGCUUUUAGCUAGUAUAACCCCAUUGACAUUUCCUGGUAGGAUUUUCUUAGCCCAUCGCAGUGAUUAAUCCUCAGCUCUCCAAGGGGAAAUAAAGCCUUU
rnacentral:lncRNA from 1 species